UGAAGCAACAAAUGCCCUGAUUCCAGGAAAAGCCUCUAAGCAUCAGGUAACAUCAAAUCGUACCCCAAACCGACACAGGUGGUCAGGUAG
rnacentral:rRNA from 1 species